rnacentral:tRNA from 1 species
AAGUUAAUAUUAGUUUGUCAAGCUAAAGAUGAAAAAUUCC